rnacentral:rRNA from 1 species
UACGGAGGGUGCAAGCGUUAUCCGGAUUUACUGGGUUUAAAGGGUGUGUAGGCGGGCUAUUAAGUCAGAGGUGAAAUCCAGGGGCUCAACCCCUGAACUGCCCCUGAUACUAUUAGUCUUGAAUACUGAUGAGGUGGGCGGAACGGGUCAUGUAGCGGUGAAAUGCUUAGAGAUGACCCGGAACACCGAUUGCGAAGGCAGCUCACUGGGCAGUUAUUGACGCUGAGGCACGAAAGCGUGGGGAUCAAACAGG